UCUCAGUUAGUGUGGACAGUGUUCACACUAUUGGACCUUUGUUUUGCACUGAAAUAGUUUGUCAUUUUCAUCUUAUUAUUUGUUUACUGGCAAAUAAAGAAAGGAGAAAUUUUUAUUUUAAAUUAGAUUUCAGAUUAUUCAAUGUGCAUUUUCUUAAAGUUGUAAAACACAUCAGAUUAGCAAAGAGGAGAUGACUUCGCUUGUGAAAUGUUCAGUUUGCUGUGGACCAUUUUCACCGCUGAAGUGGUGGGGGCUGAGAUCUAAAGUGUGUAGUUCUACAUGGCACGUGUACUGUUUCCAUUCAAAGAUAAAAAACAAAAGACAUGGGAGGAAACUGACAGAGAAUCUGAUGAGGUACAAGAUCCAGAAUACAUUCCAGACUCUGAAUCAGACACAGACCAUGACCCUACAAAUACAUCACUAUUUGUUGACGCUGUAAGACAAGUCAACAGAUCAAAAAAAUCAACAGAUAAAACUUCAGAAGACAAAACUACUGUUUCAGCUGGAGGGCAAAAUUUCUGCUUUGUUUGCCAAAAGCCAGUUUUCAAAAUAGCACGACACUUCAGAACACACAUAAAGGAGGACAGUGACAUUGCAAAGGCUCUUAGUCUCCCUGUCAGGUCAAAAACUAGAAAGGAAUUGCUUGAGAAGGGAAACUUCAUUCACAACAACGAGGUUCUAAAGAAUGGAUCUGGUUCACUCAAAGUAAAGCGAAAGGCUAAAGGUGACGUUAAAAACUAUGAGUACUGUAUCCACUGCAAGGGGAUGUUUUUACGGACCGAGUUGUGGAGACACAUGAAGAGGUGCUCCUCCGAACAUGGGGACUCUGAACAUCAUGGCAAAAAGCGAGUUAUUGGCCUUGCAGCACUGGUAAAAUCUGUGUGCUCUAGCACUGAAGAUGGCGUGCUUAAAAUGUUAAGUCGCAUGCAUGAUGACGAUAUUUCAGAUGUUGUUCGCAAUGACUUUAGCCUCUUAUGCUUUGCAGAGUCUCUUUAUAGUAAACAUGAUGGUCAUGAUGCAUCAAAGCAUGACUAUAUACGUCAAAAAACCUGCCAACUUGGACGUUUCUUACAGACUUUGCAACGAAAGUCCUCGAUCCAAACUCUAGAGGAUGCUAUAAUACCAAGCAACUUUAUGAAGGUCAUUGAGGUAGUAAA